AUUGGGUCACGCUUGAAGAAAGUCUAAUUCUGAGAAGAUUCUGAUCCGUUGGAAUUUCCACUGAAUUUUUAUUUAUUUGUUUUUCUAUCUAGCCCUUUUGUGUUCUUUUUAUUGUUACAUUUAUCUUCGGUUUCACCGUUUUCAAGCUGAAUUAUGGAUGUCAAGUUCCAUUUACUUCUGUUGCUGUUUUUGUUGGCCGGGACCUUACCCGUGAUAGGAACUCCCACAGUGACAGAAUGUAAAGACAUUCCAAUGGCGACUUGUUAUUCCAACCAGACACCUUGCCCUCCUGGAUGGCGCCAAUGUCCGUAUCCCUGCUCCCCUUUAUCCAUGACAUGCUGUUGUGACAUGACAUGAUAGGUCUUUUAUCCGCAUUGGAUGGCAGCAAGAAAAUGUCUCCAGGAACUAGAAAAUUGAGGUUUCAGAUGAUGAAAAUGAGUAGAUGCGGACUUCCCUGUUUUGAUUAACACAUAGCUGUGGUAAAAAUAAAGGG